rnacentral:lncRNA from 1 species
AAAGUUGCUAUAAUACUCGUUUUUAAAGUUACACAAUUCAACUAUAUUUGAAUUAACUGUUUUCUAGUUUGGUAUGGACUUAAUCUCAGUGAUUUUGACAGAUUACUUUCAUGUUUCAUUUUACCCAAAUCUGUAUAUUUUAGUGAUAAAACCUCUUAAAGAUAACUUUUAAAAAAGAGGUUCUGAUUUUGUAUUUGGAAUGCUGUGUCAAGAACCAGUGAUUUAAAUAACUGUGAGACAAGUCUUUGAAAGGCUUCCUUGAGUCUAGUCAAUGGAGAUAAAUGAUAGCCCAUUUCCAUGCUGCAUACAGUUGUUAGGGUUUAUAAAGUUGUCAAUAUGUAAAAGUGCAAAAGCAGGAAAGACUGUAAAGUUGCCUAUAAAAUUUCUAGUUUUCAUUAUUUGCACUAUUUAUCUUUGCACUUGAUUUUUUGAAAGUUAAGACUAGUCACUUUCACUUUUGUUUCUAGUCUUUUCUAAUUUCUUACAUUUUCAAUAUCCCACCCAAAGCAAAACUUAUAUGCAAUUAAAUAUUCUUUAUAAGUCCAAGAAAAUAUUUCGUAGUGUUAGCUAUGUAGAAGAAAAAUUUGUUUUGGAAAUGGCCUGAUUUUGGAUGUUAAUUUGUUUUCAGUGAAGUCAAUGAGAUUUGAGUCUAGCUGGGCAUUGGCUUAAAAAGCUGAAAGUGAAGUGGGUGGCAAGUGGCAGCUCCCUCUUUCAUGUAG